rnacentral:rRNA from 1 species
GAAACUCGAGCUAAUACCGCAUACGCUGCUCUUCUGAAAAAGGGAGUAGGAAAGUGGGGGAUCUUCGGACCUCACGCUAUUGGAGUAGCCUGCGUUGGAUUAGCUUGUUGGUGAGGUAAAGGCUCACCAAGGCGACGAUCUAUAGCUGGUCUGAGAGGACGAUCAGCCACACUGGAACUGAGACACGGUCCAGACUCCUACGGGAGGCAGCAGUAGGGAAUCUUGGGCAAUGGGCGAAAGCCUGACCCAGCGAUGCCGCGUGUGUGAAGAAGGCCCUAGGGUUGUAAAGCACUUUCAGCAGUGAAGAAAUGCCGGGAAUUAAUACCUCCUCGGUUUUGACGUUAACUGCAGAAGAAGUACCGGCUAACUCCGUGCCAGCAGCCGCGGUAAUACGGAGGGUACGAACGUUAAUCGGAAUUACUGGGCGUAAAGCGCGCGUAGGCGGUUCGGUUAGUGGGAUGUGAAAGCCCCGGGCUUAACCUGGGAACUGCAUUCCAACUGCCGGACUAAAGUAUGGUAAAGGGAGGUAAAAUUUC